rnacentral:misc_RNA from 1 species
CUCUAGAAGUUUACUUCUUCCUACAUCAACAGAACUAAUGAGAGCAUAAUGAUUUAUACUCAUCCAGAAAUAAAGAAAAAGCAAUCAUCUCAUCUUCAUCGUUAUCCAUAGGUUUAAAAGCUCUCAGCUUCAUCUAUUAACAAGAAAUGAAAGUGGAACUGAAAACUUGACCUUUCAUUAAUCAAUCAUCUAUUUAUAUACAAGUCAGUAACUAACUACUUGAUUACACGGGCAAAGCUAACUUGAAAACUAACAGAAUCUAAAACUAAUUAACAGAAUAAGUUAAACUUCAACUCCUUCACUCCACGUCAGCUCAGCUCUUCUUCAUGGUUCUUCUUUAUAACUGAUAAUACCAAGUCCAUUAUGAAGUUCAAACCAAACUUAAAUGAAUAAUUUUGAUUUGAUUUGAUUUGAUUUUGUCUGUUAUAAAUUUCGUUUUCAUUUAUUCGAGUUGGCUUUUAUCCCUAACUUGAUCUGGUGAUUUCAAUCUGCUGAAAAUUUCAGUUUAUUCAAUUUUUUCUUUUAAUUUUUCAAAUUGAAUCAAAUCCACCAAUUCUCUGAGGAACCAAAUUUCGCUAUUCUAUUCCUUUAUUGUUCUUUGUAAUUUAAAAUUUUGUCUGACCCAACUUGGACCUAGUGAAGCCCAGCUUGAGCCUAAAAAUAGGGCAGCCCAUUAAAGCUUCAAGUUUAUAGUUGAAAUGGAAAUUCCGGCCUCUUCAGUCUGCAUAAAUGAUUGAAUCACCAACAAAUGCACAAUCCUCAUCUGAAUGAACAUCCAAUCCAAGAUUAUUCUUUAGAACAAGUAUGGUACAGUUUCAGUGGUUAUUAUCAUUGGUUUCCACUAAUACUAUUUGGGUGUCACUAGGCAGUUAGGCAUUUGGUUCCUCCAGCAAGAUUUGAGGCUUCAAAGCUAAAAGUUGUUUUAAUGGGAGAAGAGAUGAAUGAAUACUCUGGAGUUAUCCCAAGAACUUACAUCCUAUCACACUGUGACUUCACAGCAAACCUAACCUUGACCAUCUCCAAUGUAAUCAACCUUGAUCAGUUGAGAGGGUGGUAUAGCAAAGAUGAUGUGGUUGUUGAGUGGAAGAAAAUAGGUGGGAAAUUAGGUCUGCAUAUCCAUUGCUAUGUGAGUGGUCCCAAUCUGAUGCUAGACCUCGCUGCUGAGUUACGAUAUCAUAUAUUCUCGAAGGAAAUGCCUUUGGUAAGUGUUUUGCUUUACAAUGUAUCUUGUGCUAUACAUUCCUUGCAAGUGGGUCUCCAUGUGAUUUAGGACAAGACUAUUUUUCUUCUUUGUUUUUCAUGCUCAUACAGUCAUAACAUAUUAAUUUCUGGUAAAUAUAGAGAUAGUGAAUGACUGGAUUAAUAAUCCAUAGUUGUGAUGGCUGGAUUAAUAAUCCUGGUUAGAACCUUUGAUUUGGUGCAAGCCAGGUACUUGAGGCUGUGUUGCAUGGAGAUUCAGUACUGCUCAGAGAGCAUCCUGAGUUGAUGGAUGCUUUGGUUUGGGUAUAUUUCCAUUCUAGCUCUCAAAAGUACAAUCGCCUGGAGUGUUGGGGGCCACUCAAGGAUGCUGCUAAGGUAAAAUCCUUCCCAUAAAGCCACAAGAACCUUCCUUUUUCACAUAAUACAUAACUGCUUUUGUAUCAAUAAUCAAUUAUUACCUUUUGCUGUUGAAUUUAUAAUCUAUAUUUGAAUUGCCUGUGAUAUAAGUAAAAGAUGAUCCAUCCAUUGAUUUACCAGGGAAGACAGGGAGAUCAUUUUCAAGCCUUUUUAACUGAAAGCAAGGAUGGUUCAUCUCCUGCCAAAAAAUGGCGAGGACCAAAAUCCAUUUUCCAAGCUAUUUUUGCCUUUCUUCUUUGAAGUGGUUUGCAUAGAAUUUAUAACCUUAAUGGCUGAUUUUCAUGGCCAAAGAGAAAGGAAGGCUGGGCGUACAUAACAGAACCACUUAAAAACCUUAAUGGUGAGACACGGAAGUCAUAAGUUAAAGUUGCAUCAAAACAAUGAUUGUUGGGGGCUUAGUUGAUUCUUUUGCAAAUAACACAUUUGUUUCGAUUUGAAAUAUUAUUCACAAUUCUUGUACAACUGAACAUUUGAUCAUUUUGUUCAUUUGUUUAUCAAUGGCUGAUGUUUUCACUGCCUUUUAGUUGUAAAGUGGGUUGGUUUGGCUCUUUUUAAUAGAAAAUUCAAUUUUAAAUAGCCAUUUAAA